UUGACCUCGAAUCAGGUAGGAAUACCCGCUGAACUUAACA
rnacentral:rRNA from 1 species